rnacentral:tRNA from 1 species
CUGGAUAGAGUGUCUGACUACGAAUCAGAAGGUUGCAGGUUCGACUCCUGCUAGGUGCA